GAGAGAGAGAGAGAGAGAGAGAGACGCACGCGCAAAGCAUAAAAUAUGUGGUGCAAAGUUACGUAUGUAUAUACUUGUUCCGUUGCGCAACCGUCACGGAAAGAGGAACACGAGCAGCGCGUUUCACGUGUUUUCGCGCGACAAACGCGACAUGCACGCGUCCCGGGGGCAUGUCUCUAAUUUGUCCGCGAUAUAACGCAAAUUGCGUCACGCUUGCAUCCCGACGCUGCCGGUUUUGCGGCCGCGCCGAAAACACCCACCGCCCGAUUUCCAUAAAUUUUGCAUAUACGUGUCGCGCGGCGAAUUGAUUGUCUUAACGAGAGAGGAGAAGCGUGUGCACGCACGCGCUUCGAACAACUGCGUCGAUUAUAAUCGAAUGGCUGUCGUUUACCGACCGUCCCACUCGGUAUAAGCGAGAAAUUAUCACUGCACGACGUUGUCGCAAUGAUAUUUUGUGACAUGUAACGUUUUCAAGAAUAUUUGGCGGGUGAUCGGUUCACUUCUUUCGCAGAAAUCGAAAAUUGGCUCCUAACUUGGAUCGCCUCAAAAGACGAGACAUUUUUUCGAGAUGUAAUUCGAAAAUUGCCUGAGAGGAAUAUUUGGCGGGUCACCGAUUCACUUCUUUCGCAGAAAUCGAAAAUACAUUGGGAGUACAAAUUAGUUCGGUCCGUUCUCAAAAGA